UACGUAGGGCGCAAGCGUUGUCCGGAAUUAUUGGGCGUAAAGAGCUCGUAGGCGGUUUGUCGCGUCUGUCGUGAAAGCUUGGGGCUUAACCCCAAGUCUGCGGUGGAUACGGGCAGACUAGAGGCAGGUAGGGGAGAACGGAAUUCCCGGUGUAGCGGUGAAAUGCGCAGAUAUCGGGAGGAACACCGGUGGCGAAGGCGGCACUCUGGGCCGGUACUGACGCUGAGGAGCGAAAGCGUGGGUAGCAAACAGG
rnacentral:rRNA from 1 species